rnacentral:rRNA from 1 species
AUGCCGCCAGUAGUAGGAGGAGAUGAUUGCACGGAGCACGAUCUCCCGCAGGCGAUCGGCCACCAUGGCUCCCCCGAGGACGUUUGGUCUUGUUCACCGACGCUCCCCGUCGUUGCUUCAGUAGCUUCCGAGAAGAAGAAGAAGCAGAGGCGUGAUUGCGAGCUGCGGCCCGCGGCAAGCCUCCCCGACGACAUCAUCAUCGAAAUCCUGUCGCUGGUGCGCUACAAGUCGCUCAGCCGUUUUAAGUGCGUGUCCAAGCAGUGGCUUGACCUUUGCUCCGGUCUCGACACCCACAAGACGUCGCCGCAGACCCUAUCCGGCCUCUACUUCUUGGACUAG